rnacentral:rRNA from 1 species
GAUCUUGGCUCAGGAUGAACGCUGGCGGCGUGCUUAACACAUGCAAGUCGAGCGAAGCACUUUGGAAAGAUUCUUCGGAUGAUUUCCUUUGUGACUGAGCGGCGGACGGGUGAGUAACGCGUGGGUAACCUGCCUCAUACAGGGGGAUAACAGUUAGAAAUGACUGCUAAUACCGCACAAGACCACGGUACCGCAUGGUGCAGUGGUAAAAACUCCGGUGGUAUGAGAUGGACCCGCGU